rnacentral:ncRNA from 2 species
UAGCAGCACAUCAUGAUUUACA